GAUGAAGAACGCAGCGAAAUGCGAUAAGUAGUGUGAAUUGCAGAAUUCAGUGAAUCAUCGAAUCUUUGAACGCACAUUGCGCCCCUUGGUAUACCGAGGGGCAUGCCUGUUCGAGCGUCAUUUCACCACUCAAGCCUGGCUUGGUGUUGGGCGACGUCCUCUUUGGGGACGCGCCUCGAAACGCUCGGCGGCGUGGCACCGGCUUUAAGCGUAGCAGAAUCUUUCGCUUUGGAAGUCGGGGCCCCGUCUGCCGGAAGACCUGCUCGCAAGGUUGACCUCGGAUCAGGCAGGGAUACCCGCUGAACUUAAGCAUAUCAAUAAGCGGAGGA
rnacentral:misc_RNA from 1 species